rnacentral:rRNA from 1 species
GGGUUGUGAGGUUAAGCGACUAAGCGUACACGGUGGAUGCCCUGGCAGUCAGAGGCGAUGAAGGACGUGCUAAUCUGCGAAAAGCGCCGGCGAGGUGAUAUGAACCCUUGACCCGGCGAUGUCCGAAUGGGGAAACCCAGUGUGAUUCGUCACACUAUCGUUAACNNNNNNNNNNCACUAUCGUUAACUGAAUACAUAGGUUAACGAGGCGAACCGGGGGAACUGAAACAUCUAAGUACCCCGAGGAAAAGAAAUCAACCGAGAUUCCCCCAGUAGCGGCGAGCGAACGGGGAGCAGCCCAGAGUCUGAAUCAGCUUGUGUGUUAGUGGAAGCGUCUGGAAAGUCGCACGGUACAGGGUGAAAGUCCCGUACACGAAAAUGCACAGGUUGUGAACUCGAAGAGUAGGGCGGGACACGUGGUAUCCUGUCUGAAUAUGGGGGGACCAUCCUCCAAGGCUAAAUACUCCUGACUGACCGAUAGUGAACCAGUACCGUGAGGGAAAGGCGAAAAGAACCCCGGCGAGGGGAGUGAAAAAGAACCUGAAACCGUGUACGUACAAGCAGUGGGAGCACCUUCGUGGUGUGACUGCGUACCUUUUGUAUAAUGGGUCAGCGACUUAUAUUCUGUAGCAAGGUUAACCGUAUAGGGGAGCCGAAGGGAAACCGAGUCUUAACUGGGCGUUAAGUUGCAGGGUAUAGACCCGAAACCCGGUGAUCUAGCCAUGGGCAGGUUGAAGGUUGGGUAACACUAACUGGAGGACCGAACCGACUAAUGUUGAAAAAUUAGCGGAUGACUUGUGGCUGGGGGUGAAAGGCCAAUCAAACCGGGAGAUAGCUGGUUCUCCCCGAAAGCUAUUUAGGUAGCGCCUCGUGAACUCAUCUUCGGGGGUAGAGCACUGUUUCGGCUAGGGGGCCAUCCCGGCUUACCAACCCGAUGCAAACUACGAAUACCGAAGAAUGUUAUCACGGGAGACACACGGCGGGUGCUAACGUCCGUCGUGAAGAGGGAAACAACCCAGACCGCCAGCUAAGGUCCCAAAGUCAUGGUUAAGUGGGAAACGAUGUGGGAAGGCCCAGACAGCCAGGAUGUUGGCUUAGAAGCAGCCAUCAUUUAAAGAAAGCGUAAUAGCUCACUGGUCGAGUCGGCCUGCGCGGAAGAUGUAACGGGGCUAAACCAUGCACCGAAGCUGCGGCAGCGACACUAUGUGUUGUUGGGUAGGGGAGCGUUCUGUAAGCCGUUGAAGGUGGCCUGUGAGGGUUGCUGGAGGUAUCAGAAGUGCGAAUGCUGACAUAAGUAACGAUAAAGCGGGUGAAAAGCCCGCUCGCCGGAAGACCAAGGGUUCCUGUCCAACGUUAAUCGGGGCAGGGUGAGUCGACCCCUAAGGCGAGGCCGAAAGGCGUAGUCGAUGGGAAACAGGUUAAUAUUCCUGUACUUGGUGUUACUGCGAAGGGGGGACGGAGAAGGCUAUGUUAGCCGGGCGACGGUUGUCCCGGUUUAAGCAUGUAGGCGGAGGUUCCAGGUAAAUCCGGUACCUUUU